rnacentral:rRNA from 1 species
GAUGACUUGUGGCUGGGGGUGAAAGGCCAAUCAAACCGGGAGAUAGCUGGUUCUCCCCGAAAGCUAUUUAGGUAGCGCCUCGUGAACUCAUCUUCGGGGGUAGAGCACUGUUUCGGCUAGGGGGGUCAUCCCGACUUACCAACCCGAUGCAAACUACGAAUACCGAAGAAUGUUAUCACGGGAGACACACGGCGGGUGCUAACGUCCGUCGUGAAGAGGGAAACAACCCAGACCGCCAGCUAAGGUCCCAAAGUCAUGGUUAAGUGGGAAACGAUGUGGGAAGGCACAGACAGCCAGGAUGUUGGCUUAGAAGCAGCCAUCAUUUAAAGAAAGCGUAAUAGCUCACUGGUCGAGUCGGCCUGCGCGGAAGAUGUAACGGGGCUAAACCAUGCACCGAAGCUGCGGCAGCGACACUAUGUGUUGUUGGGUAGGG